rnacentral:lncRNA from 1 species
CAAGAAUUGGCAACACUCGUACAUGCUAGACAGAUGUGAAAGCUGCUAGAAUGUACAACAAGAGUCCAACUUGGUGACAGAGAUCCUUACCAUUUAUCAGAAGCCUCAAAUACUUAGGUUGAGGACCAGAAAGACACUCAGCACGGAUGGAAAAUGCCCUCCAGAGAUACUGGAAUCAGCAAGAAGGCAGCGGUGCACAAGCCAAGAAGAGAGCCCUCACCAGAGCAUGAACAUUCUAGCACCUAAUCUAAGACUUCUAACCUCCAGAGCAGUGAGAAGGUAUAUUUCUGUUGUUGAAGCCACCCAUUCUGUGGUAUCUUAUUAUGAGCCUGAGUUGACUAAUACAGUCUGUACUAAGUGACAGUAUAAUAUUAUUAAACAAGUUUCUGAAAUGUUUCAAACCAGCAGUUUACAAUGGUUUCAACUGAUCCAUAUCCUUUACAAGAGUUAAUAUUAUCUAUAUUUUUCACUGUGUCAGUCUUGUUGUUCUGUUGUGGUAUUUCAUCGUGACUUUAACUCCCCUGAUUAAUAAUGAUAUUAAUCAUUAUUUUGCAAAGUGCCUUUUCAUGUCUUUUUUUUCAUAUUGAUUUACAGGAGCUCUUUAUUUCUUAACAAAUGUCUUCUACUCUCUUUAUUGUAUUUUUCUUUCUUAAUCAUGAAAAUAAGUUCUUUAUUGCAAUGUAGUUCAAUGUAUCAAUCUUUACUGUUAGUACAUUUUGUGUUCUGUUUGAGAAAUCUUUGCCUACCCCCAAGAUCUCAAAGAUCUUAUCUUACAGAAGCACUUUUUAAAAUCUUUAACAUUUAUAUCUACAACCCAUUUGGAAAUAAUUUUUACAUUUGGUACGAGAUAAGGCUUAAGAUUUAUUUUUUUCCAUGUGCAUAUUUAUUUAGCCCAGCACUGUUAGUUGGAAUGUACACUUAUUACUGUUUCUUCUAUAAUAAAUUAACCAUAUGGAUAUGAUUCUGCUUUCUCAAUUUUCUAUUCUAUUCCAACGAGAUGGUUUUGUUUUCAUAUGCCAAUAACACGCUGUCUAAAUCACUGUAGCCUAAUGUCUUGAUAUCCUAUGGUGUAAAUUCUCCAUAAUUUUUGUUCUUUUUCAAGAUCACCUCAGAUAUUUGUAGACUUUUUGUAUUUCUAUACAAAUUUUAGAAUUACUUUGUCAAUAUCCACAAAAAACAAAAACUUUCUAAAAUUCUAAUUUGGAUUGCAUUUAAUAUAUAUUAAUGGUUGACAAUUAACAUUUUUACAUUAUUGAAUCUUUCAUAUAUGAAUAUAUACCAUUUAUUUAUGUAUUCUUUAAUUUCUCUCAAGAAAGUUUUUAGAUUUGUGUUUAUAAGUUUUGUUAGACUUACUCCU